GAGUCCACGCGGAGAGCGAUGGGGGUUUGCACCUGGUCAAGUCAUUCCUCCUGAGAACGUCCUUCUGGAGCCCGGGUGUCUCCAGCUGGGUGUAGAACACGGGCGGUCCAGUCCGGGAAGACGUAUCUCUGUACCGCCUCGAGCCUGGUUCUGAGCAAGGCUCAACUCUCUCCCCUUUGGUCCCCAGGAGCUGAGACAUUUCGGAGAAGUCCAGGUGAAGAACAAAAUUCAGUUUCUGGAUACCAACGCGAGGGCCUCCCGGCUGACCCGCUGUGAGCGCACUCAGGUGGGCGGGCAGCCUGCCUCCCUGAUCGGGACUCCUCGUUAGCCAGGAUGUCAGCCCUGAGGUGCAGGCUGUGGGGGUCAGGGAUGUUGCCCACAUCCCACACCGCUCCUGGCUGGACCGCAAUGCCCCAAGGGAAAAGGCGUGGAAGAGCCCAAGAACCAGAGUCUGCAGCCCUGCUCCCCCUCUGCCCUUCAACGGGAGUGACCCUGAGCAAGCAGUGACUCUUCUCAGAGAUGCACCAAGCUGCCCAUCUGCAAACUGGGGAGCGCAUGUGUCCGGCCUGCCUCCUUCUAUGAACCCCGACGGAGUGAGCGCUCUGUGCCUGGUGCUGCAGAGAGAGAAAGCAGCCCUAGUGGAGGACACCAACCUUUCCAAAGCCUGUGUUGUAUUCGACCGUAGAAGAGAUUCAAAUGAUUGCUUCGGGUGAAAACGGGGGGGAAACGGUAAAAUCUACAUACGACACUGCUAUCCUGUCAAGUUUUUCUGGGGGGACGGGAUGAUUGGCAGCUAACGAGUGGUUAAGUGCUGAAAUCCACACUGGAGUUCAGAACGCUUGGCCUUCUCUUUUGGAAAAAGAAAUAUUUUAAAAGAAAAAAAAAGGAAAUAUUUUGAAUCCUGAAAAUUAAGUUUUUGUCUUCAGAGAUGGAAAGCUUGUGAGCUCGUACCCAACGUGAGGAUUCUGAAAUGCAACUUUUUUUAAACCUUCCAAACAUAAGUGUAACUUUUGGUUAAGAAACGACUCACGUUUAAAUGCGACCCUGAUCAGUGUAUAAGUGACUAGAAGGAUCCUUACUUAGUGGCUAGAGCAAUUCGUUGGAGAGUCUGUUGCUCACAGAAAUUUGGGCUUUGGCUAAUGGCUAAGCAAGUUA